ACCGGUGGCAAGGCCGUCGUGGCGCUGGACGGUGAGAAACUAAUCGGUUUCAGCUACAUCGAGUGCUGGGGUCACGGCGACUUCGUCGCCACCUCGGGACUUAUCGUCGAUCCGGAGUACCGCCAUAUGGGACUCGCGGAACAGAUCAAACGACGAACCUUCGAGCUGGCCCGACGACGAUUCCCGUAUGCCAAGUUAUUCAGUAUCACCACGUCGCUGCCGGUUAUGAAGCUCAACUCGCGAAUGGGCUACGUCCCCGUGACCUUCUCGGAACUGACCGAAGACGAGGAGUUCUGGCGCGGCUGCGAAGGCUGCUGCAACUACGACAUCCUGCAACGCAACAACCGCCGCAUGUGCCUCUGCACGGGCAUGCUCUACGACCCGGCCAAGGAACCGCCCGCGAAACAGUCGCGGCUGGCCCCCUACCGGAUGUUUUUCCGGAACAAAGUAAAAAAACUGUUUCACCUGAAAUAACGGAAAUAUCAUUCGAGACAACCCGGUCGCGUCGCGACAAGUCCCCUCCGAGGAGGGGAUUCAGGGGAAGGUCAGAAUUGCAAACGACGCCGAAGGCGGCGACAACGACCGGAGGAUUUGCACUCCGGCAGCAUGAAUAAAAAAACAAAAAAACAGAAUAUCAUGGAAACCAAGAAGAAAGUGGUUCUGGCGUUCAGCGGCGGUCUGGACACCUCGUUUUGUGUAAAAUACCUCUCCGAGGAGAAGGGUUACGACGUUUACACGGCAAUCGCCAACACGGGCGGGUUCUCGAAACCCGAACUCGAAAAGAUCGAGAAGCGCGCCAUGGAGCUGGGCGCCACGGCACACGCGACGGUCCCUAGAAAAACCCCUAGGCAGGCGCGUGCGCGCCCGUACCGCAAACCGACACAGGUGGGUGGGUAGAACAUACCGAGGCGAUCGGGUCAACCAUGGUCAAGGAACUCGGCACAAUGGCCCCGUAACUUCGGGAGAAGGGGUGCCCGCGCGUACGUGAACGGACUUGCUCCGGGAGCGGAGGCGGGCCGCAGUGGAGAGGCCCAAGCGACUGUUUACCAAAAACACAGGACUCUGCAGAAGCCGCAAGGCGACGUAUAGGGUCUGACGCCUGCCCGGUGCCGGAAGGUCACGCGGAGGAGUUAGCGCAUCGCGCGAAGCCCCGAAGCCAAGCCCCGGUAAACGGCGGCCGUAACUAUAACGGUCCUAAGGUAGCGAAAUUCCUUGUCGGGUAAGUUCCGACCUGCACGAAAGGCGCAACGACUUGGGCGCUGUCUCGACCAUGGACCCGGUGAAAUUGCACUGGUCGUGAAGAUGCGACUUACCCGCGGAAGGACGGAAAGACCCCGUGAACCUUCACUGCAGCUUGGCAUUGGCCGCUGGUCCCGCGUGUAGAGGAUAGGCAGGAGGCACAGAUCCGGAGGCGCCAGCCCCCGGGGAGCCGCCCUUGGAAUACUGCCCUCGCGCGACCGGCGUCCUAACCCGAGGCCGUCGACCGGCUCGGGGACCGUGCCAGGCGGGCAGUUUGACUGGGGCGGUCGCCUCCUAAAGGGUAACGGAGGCGCGCGAAGGUCCGCUCGGGACGGUCGGCAACCGUCCUUUUGAAUGCAAGAGUACAAGCGGGCUUGACUGCGAGGCCCACAAGCCGAGCAGGUGCGAAAGCAGGCUCUAGUGAUCCGGCGGCCCCGAGUGGGUGGGCCGUCGCUCAACGGAUAAAAGGUACUCCGGGGAUAACAGGCUGAUCUUGCCCAAGAGUCCACAUCGACGGCAAGGUUUGGCACCUCGAUGUCGGCUCAUCGCAUCCUGGGGCUGGAGCAGGUCCCAAGGGUAUGGCUGUUCGCCAUUCAAAGCGGUACGCGAGCUGGGUUCAGAACGUCGUGAGACAGUUCGGUCCCUAUCCUCCGCAGGCGCAAGGGAGUUGAGGAGGGCCGCCCCUAGUACGAGAGGACCGGGGCGGACGGGCCUCUGGUGGAGCGGUUGUCGACCAACGGCACCGCCGCCUAGCUACGCCCGGAACGGAUAACCGCUGAAAGCAUCUAAGCGGGAAGCCGGCUCCGAGAUGAGCUCCCUGUUCGGUAAGGGCCCGGGUAGAACACCCGGUCGACAGGCCGCAGCUGCAAGCGCCGCGAGGCGCUCAGGCGAGCGGUGCUGAUAGCCCGAGCUCUUCUUC
rnacentral:rRNA from 1 species